rnacentral:rRNA from 1 species
CGGGUGCCCACCAAGAUGAUUAAGUGGGAUGGGCUUAAUUAGUCCCACUUAUGCCCACUCCCACCUGCAGCCUGACUCGGAGACGUCAGCCAGGUUCUACUUUCCGUUCCGGUAAAUCACGGGUCAGAUCUCAGAUCGCUCCUUGGUCGGCACGAGUUGGUGACUCCCGAGGUGAACCAACGUAAGUACCCUGUAACCACUGACCUCAUGGGCCCGCGAGGGAGCCGGCCCCUUGUGCAGCCGUGCUUUCCGAUGGAGGUCACGUCCAGCUGACAUAAGGCCUGCUGCUCUCUCUCUUUCCCCGUUUUCUUAUCCUCUGCCUCACGCCAUCUACAAUCCCAGAUCGCUGAAGAUUCGCCCAGCUAGCCGGCGGUGGGCAGGCCCUCGUCUGCAGAUCGAGCAGAGGUGCAAGCGGCAGCCCUUUGCCCUGCUCUUUCAUGUUGUUCAUCUUUCAACAUCUCCGGAUUUCUCUCCGUCCGGGCAGCAGGCGCGGCGAUCAAUGGACGACUAUCAAGGAUCUACUCAUGCUGCUACCGGCGUCGUGGCAAGAAUAUCUGAUGGUGAGUUUGUGCUAGCUGCUGCAAGGGGAUACGACAAUAUUCAAAAUCCCCUGACAGCUGAAACACUCGCUUUUAGAGAUGCAAUUACUGAAGCAGUCAAAGAAGGAUGGCAGCAUGUCCAUUUUGAAACAGCUUGUCAAAUAGGUAGUGGAGAAGCUAAGGAAAAUGCUAGUAACUUAGUUCCCCUUAAAGGCGACUGGUAUUGUUUGGUUGUUCCUUCACCAUAUGAUGCUUGAUUUGUAUAACUUGAUUCUGUUUUACCAUAGCAUAAAGUACCAGGCCUAUGACAUACUUUCCUCUUUCUCAACUUUAAUCUUUCUGAUGUCCAUUUUUUAACAAAAUCCAUUGAGUCAUUGUAUAAAUAAACUGGCUUGAUAACUUAUUUAUAGAGACAAACGCUUGCCACGGGCGUUCUUUUGUUCAGGG